AACGUACGAGCAAAAGCUACGUGAACAAACCGCUGCUGUGGAGACCGACAGGCCCGAAUGAGACGAAGAGGGAAGAUACGUUUGACGACGUGGCCUCAGAUCUACAUCAUAGUGGACCACCGGACGCGUACAGUUAGCUUCCUUUGUAACCCUAACUGUAGGAACUCGAACCCUUCAGGUGAAUAGAACUGUUCCGGUGACUGGCCGAACCCAACAAGGCCUGCAACACAAAAUCCUGAGUCGUUGGUCGUCCGAUGCUGUAGAUUAAGAGCUACGAUGUUCAAAAGCAAGGCUUAGCUGCAGACCACUGAGGAGGAUCAGCUCAUUUCCUUUAGCGCACGCCGUGGAGGUUGGUGGGCUGGUGACCGGAGAGGACCGAGGACCACCUGACGGCCCGCUGGUGCUUGGGAACGCGCACACAAACUGCUGAUUGUGUCUUUAUCUGUCCUCUGACAGCAGGUAUCAGAACGAGAUCAGAGGCUUCUGAGGCAAAACCCCGUCGCUGACGAGGAAACUUCAGGUUCAGAUUAGAGUUUUCUGAAGGCAGGGAUUAUUACUGAGGCUCUGUGUCCAAUCUGUCUCAUAAAAACUUUGUUUUAUGGAUUUUUAUCUCAAGAUCUGAGUAACUGGCCAAGUUAUCGGUCAUUUAAUCUUUGAAAAUUGCAUCCUCAGAUGGAUGGAAACAUAAAGUUGGUGGAAACUUUGGUAUUUUAAAAUGACAAUAAUUAUAACAAAGGCAAGAUAAAAUGUUUCCAAAUGAAAAACUGAUACCUAAGUAUAUUUAAUUGUAAUUAGUCACUACUCAACUCUGUAGUGACCUAUUAAUAAAAUGACUUUAAUUUGAAGCA